GAUGAAGAACGCAGCGAAAUGCGAUACGUAAUGUGAAUUGCAGAAUCCAGUGAAUCAUCGAAUCUUUGAACGCACAUUGCGCCCGCCAGCAUUCUGGCGGGCAUGCCUGUUCGAGCGUCAUUUCAACCCUCGACCUCCCUUUGGGGAAGUCGGCGUUGGGGACCGGCAGCACACCGCCGGCCCUGAAAUGGAGUGGCGGCCCGUCCGCGGCGACCUCUGCGUAGUAAUCCAACUCGCACCGGAACCCCGACGCGGCCACGCCGUAAAACACCCAACUUCUGAACGUUGACCUCAAAUCAGGUAGGACUACCCGCUGAACUUAAGCAUAUCAAUAAGCGGAGGA
rnacentral:misc_RNA from 1 species